rnacentral:tRNA from 1 species
AAUAUUAUAAGUUAAAUAAAAACUAUAAAUUUUCAAAAUUUAAAAUAUCAGUAAGAUUAAUAUUU